AGGUCAGUGGUGGCCUGACCCACACUAGAGGUCUCUGAAACCCACGCCUACAGCUCCCUAUGAUGACCCAAGAAAUAUUUAGAAUGAACAAGCAUUUUCAAGGUUUUGGCACAUUGAUUUCAUUUUGCUGCUAGGCGACACAGUAAUUUAGCUAAUUGUUUUGUAAUUAAAUAACAAAAACAUUUUCCUGUGAGCAAAUGUUUUUCUUUCAGAUAGUAUUUGUAAGUUAAAAAAAAAAAACCAAAACUUUAGAAGAGUAACACAAAGUUUCUAAUAUAUUGCCCAUCCUCAGUUUAUCCUGAAAGAAGGAGUUAACAUGUCCACAUCUGUAGUAUCUGAGUAUCUUGUUAAU
rnacentral:lncRNA from 1 species